GAAGGGGCAGCUGGGACAUGGGGACACCAAGAGAGUGGAAGCCCCCAGACUCAUCGAGGGUCUCAGCCACAAAGUGAUCGUAUCUGCAGCAUGUGGGCAGAACCACACCUUGGCCUUGAGGGAAACUGGCUCCGUGUUUGCAUUUGGGGAGAACAAGAUGGGGCAGCUGGGCCUUGGCAACCAGACAGACACUGUCCACAGCCCCGCGCAGAUAAUGUACAAUGGCCAGCCAAUUACCAAAAUGGCCUGUGGGGGCUGAAUUCAGUAUGAUAAUAGACUGCAGAGGAAACCUCUGUUCCUUUGGGUGCCCUGAAUAUGGUCAGCUGGGACACAACUCGGAUGGGAAGUUCAUUGCCUGGCCACAGCAGAUAGAAUACGACUGCAAACUGGUGCCCCUGCAAGUGGCCAUCUUCAUCGAGAAGACCAAAAAUUGACAGAUGCUGCCUGUACCAAACGUGGUUGUGCAAGAUGUGGCCAGUGGCACCAACCACACUCUGGUUCUGGACUCCCAGAAGCAAGUCUUCUCUGGGGCUCCAGUGGCUAUGGCUGGCUGGGCCAUGCAGAGCAGAAGGAUGAGAUGGUCCCCCGCCUGGUGAAGCUGUUUGACUUUUCUGGACGUGGGGUGUCCCAGAUCUAUGCUGGUUAUACCUGCUUCUUUGCCAUCAGUGAAGUGGGUGGUCUGUUUUUCUGGGGGUCACCAACACCUCCCAUGAAUCUACCGUGUACCCGAAAGCAGUGCAGGACCUCUGUGGCUGGAGAAUACGGAGCCUGGCUUGUGGAAAGAGCAGCAUCACUGUGGCCACCAAUGAGAGCACCAUCAGCUGGGGCCCGUCGCCGACCUUCGGGGAACACGGCUAUGGGGACCACAAGCCCAAGUCUUCCACUGCAGCCCAAGAGGUGAAGACUCUGGAUAGCAUUUUCUCAGAGCAGGUCGCCAAGGGCUACUCACACACCUUGGUGAUAGCAAGAGACAAAUGCUAGACUGAGAAAGAGAAGAUCAAGAAACUGCCAGAAUACAACCCCCCAACCCUCUGA
rnacentral:lncRNA from 1 species